AUUCAAGAAAGGUUUCCAGGGUAGAUAAUUUAGUUCGUAAUUUACACUAAUUUUGCUCUAACCACGAGACAUAAUAAUUUGAAUAUACUGCACGGAAAAACCUAGAGCGAAUUAAAUUGUGUGUCAGCUUCGUGUGUAUACAUAUAGUCUUUCCUAUGCAUUAGGUUUUUUGCGCAAUGCAUCAACAGUUGACAGCCUAUCUUAUGAUGUGUACUCUGUUUACAUUACAGUUGUUUAUUAGUUUACUCGUUUGUUUUGCGACUGAUGAAAUGCCGGCAUAUAUAUAUUUUCAACAUUUGACAUAACCCUGUAUGUCUUGCAGGGACAACCCAGGACGUGCAUUUCUCAGCACCUAGUCAACUGCCAAAAGUGACUCAAACACAGGCCACCAGUGGAACUCGGCUGUACCACUGCAGUGCUGCGGAAAUUGCCUUCACCAGCGGCUUUGCAACACCUGUUUCGCAGCAUGUCGGAGACAAUGCCUACGAAAUUAUUGGCCCUGAUCAUGUGAGCCCUCAAGGGGCAAACAGCAUCUCUGUUGCAGAAGUGAGCCCGAUACCACUUGGAAGUUACCAUGACAGAUGACACGGCAGCAAUACAUACAGAGACUGCCAUGUUUACUGCAGCUGCAACAGUGUACGAGGCAAGCAGCAGCGCGUCAGCAUCAGCAGCAGUUUCAGAAGGAACCACACCAGGCCUGGUAGAGCAACAUGUGUCCUAUCACUGACUUUUUUUGUAGUGGAUACAACUCAUUUGCUCAACAUACAAAAGCUUUUCACCACGACUGUGAGCCAGUGUUAUUGUGCAGCAAGUGCAAGAAUAAGUUAGGUGUUAUAACACAGUACAAGCAUCACUUUAAUAUAUGCAAAUGCAAACAUAUUACAGUUGUUGCCUCCCCAGCCAGCCCACAUAGUGACAACAAUGUGGAACACAUGGUGGGACACACCUCUCCCCCAUUACAAGAUAGUAGAGACUGUCAGUGUUGUUGCUAGAUUGACUGGUCUUUGUAGGCAACUAGAAGGACAACACAGGUGUCAUAAGAUUGUUGUUGAUGUUGUUGUUGAAGAGGUAAAAAAGAAGUUUGAUGCAGCUGAAGUGCCAACUGAUAUUGAGCAAAUCAAAAGCAACCACCUGAGAAAGCAACACUAUCGAAAUUUGGGUAUCUAUGUGCUGCCAACUCUGGUAAGAAUGGCAUAGGACAGAAGUGUGAUGAAAAUCACACAGACACUGCUGUUGCAUCACUGGCCACAGUGAGCAGCGACUUGUAGGGCAAGAGAGUCAACUGAAACUAACAUUAUGAUAUAGUGUCAUGCUCCCAUGUGACCACUUUUCAAGUUAUUUUGCAAGAUACAGCUCAACCUCCAGAAACGAGACUGCAACUUGUCUGUAAAAAAGCUUUCACAAAAAAUUAUUCAUAACACUAUUAACAUAGCAGUAUCUAUUUUUUUGUGUCGGUUCGAGGUUCCCGGCUGUCCAUUAAUGCAAAAAUUGAGGAAAAAAAGAACAUGUGUCGUACUUACACCUUUUUAACAAGUAUGAGGGGGACAGAACUUUUCUAGUCUUGCAUCUUCAUCAUACUAUCAAG